rnacentral:misc_RNA from 1 species
UCAAACUUGGUCAUUUAGAGGAAGUAAAAGUCGUAACAAGGUCUCCGUAGGUGAACCUGCGGAGGGAUCAUUAUAGGAAAUAUACAAAACAAUAAGUUGUGGAGGGGGGGGGAUUGAGGGAUGUAUUCUUCUUUCUCACUCUUUUCCUCUCUGCUUCUUCAAACAAACCAUCGCAACCAUUGUAUGUGUGAAUUGGUGACUUAUUAUAAGUGCUUGCCUGAUACACUGAUGGAUGAGGGGAAAGAAAAAAACAAAACUUUCAACAACGGAUCUCUUGGCUCUCGCAUCGAUGAAGAACGCAGC